GUCUGUAUGAAGUUACAUGGAGUCUAGCCUGCCCACUGAAUAUUUUAAAGGCCGCAGUAUAUUAACUGUGCAAAGGUAGCAUAAUCAUUAGUUUUUUAAUUGGAGGCUUGUAUGAAGGGUUGGACAAAGAACAAUCUGUUUCUAUUUUUGUUUUUGAAUUUAACUUUUAAGUGAAAAGGCUUAAAUAAUUUUAAGGGACGAUAAGACCCUAUAAAUCUUUAUAUUAAUUUGUUUUUAGUUGAUUAAUACUGUAGAUUCAACGGUAAAAUAAAAUAUAUUAUGUUGGGGUGACGAGAAUAUAAUGUGUACCUGUUCUAAAUUAUGAAACAAAAAUUUUUGUGUUAGUAGAAGAUCCUCUUUAUUGAGAUUAGGAGUUUAAGUUACUUUAGGGAUAACAGCGUUAUUUUUUUUGAGAGUUCUUAUCGAAAAAAAAGUUUGCGACCUCGAUGUUGAAUUAAAUUUUCUUUGUGGUGUAGUUGUCAUAAGAGAGAGUCUGUUCGACUUUU
rnacentral:rRNA from 1 species